AUGGUGACCGCUAGCAAUACUGAUGGGUAUGGUAAUUUACCUAUUGUGCUUUUAGUAUUUCAAUCAUCUUCGUGGUGGAUUGAUUCGGGUGCUAACGUUCAUGUGUGUGCUGACAUCUCCCUGUUUACUUCUUAUCAGGUCGCAAGGGAUUCUUCCGUCCUAAUGGGGAAUGGGUCACAUGCUUCUGUUCGUGGCAUUGGCACGGUGGAUCUGAAGUUUACUUCGGGAAAGAUCGUGCAACUAAGGAACGUGCAGCAUGUCCCUACUAUGAACAAAAAUCUAGUUAGCGGCUCCCUUCUAUGUCGAGAUGGUUUUAAGGUAGUUUUAGAGUCCAAUAAAGUAAUCGUGUCAAGAUUUGGACAAUUUAUAGGAAAAGGCUAUGAGUGCGGAGGCUUGUUCCGCUUUUCUCUUUCAGAUUUUUGCAAUAAGUCAAUAAACCAAAUUUGUGCUAGUGUUAAUGAUGAUGCAAGUAUUUGGCACUCUCGUUUAUGUCAUAUUAAUUUUGGUUUAAUGUCUCGGCUAUCCAGCAUGAGUUUAAUUCCGAACUUCACAGUUGCCAAAGGUUCUAAGUGCCAUAGUUGUGUGCAAUCUAAGCAACCUCGAAAGCCUCAUAAGGCUGCCGAGGAGAGAAACUUGGCACCUCUAGAACUCAUACAUUCUGAUCUUUGUGAGAUGAAUGGUGUGUUGACAAAAGGUGGAAAGAGAUAUUUCAUGACUUCGAUUGAUGAUGCGACUAGAUUUUGCUAUAUUUAUUUGUUGCAAACUAAAGAUGAAGCAUUAGACUACUUUAAAAUCUAUAAAGCUGAAGUUGAAAAACAACUAGAGAGAAAGAUCAAGCGUCUUAGGUCCGAUCAUGGUGGAGAGUAUUUUCCAAAAGUUUUUGAUGAAUUUUGUGAGGAACAUGGUAUUAUUCAUGAGAGGACGCCUCCCUAUUCACCUCAAUCAAAUGGAGUGGCCGAGAGGAAAAACCGCACAUUGACUGACUUGGUGAAUGCCAUGUUAGACACUGCUGGUUUAUCUAAGGCAUGGUGGGGGAAGGCUCUAUUGACUUCAUGUCAUGUCCUGAAUAGAGUUCCCAACAAUAAUAAAGAGAAAACCCCUUAUGAGGAGUGGGUUGGGAGAAAACCAUCACUUUUUUAUUUGCGCACUUGGGGAUGUUUGGCAAAGGUCAAUAUUCCUAUUCCUAAGAAACGCAAACUUGGACCAAAGACAGUGGAUUGUGUCUUUCUAGGGUAUGCUCAACGGAGCAUUGCUUAUAGGUUUUUAGUGGUAAAAUCUGAAGUACCUGAUAUGCAUGUUGAUACUAUAAUGGAAUCUCGUGAUGCAACAUUUUUUGAGAACAUAUUUCCUAUGAAAGAUAUGCAUAGCAUUGCUAGAUUUUCUUCUGAGAUAAUUCCUGAAUCUAGUACAACUGAUGAAUAUUUCGAACAAUCACAUGAGGAAGUCCUUGAGAAGGAUAACAAUGAAGUUCCUAGAAGGAACAAGAGACAAAGGAUUGCAAAAUCCUUUGGUGAUGAUUUCAUUGUAUACCUUGUGGACGACACACCCAAGACGAUUGCAGAAGCAUAUGCAUCUCCGGAUGUAGAUGAUUGGAAAGAAGCUGUUCAUAAUGAGAUGGACUCAAUUCUUUCUAAUGGAACUUGGGAACUAACUGAUAGACCAUAUGGUUGUAAACCUGUGGGCUGCAAGUGGGUGUUCAAACAGAAGCUAAAGCCUGAUGGUACUAUUGAUAAGUACAAGGCGCGGCUAGUGGCCAAGGGCUACACUCAGAAAGAAGGCGAAGAUUACUUUGACACCUAUUCACCCGUUGCUAGAAUGACCACCAUUCGAGUGUUACUUUCCUUGGCUACCUCUUAUGGUCUUAUCAUUCAUCAAAUGGAUGUAAAGACAGCUUUUCUCAAUGGAGAGUUGGAAGAGGAGAUCUAUAUGGAUCAGCCUGACGGGUUUGUGGUAAAGGGUGAAGAGAGAAAGGUGUGCAAGUUGUUAAAAUCUUUGUAUGGUCUGAAACAGGCACCUAAGCAAUGGCAUGAGAAGUUUGAAAGAACUUUGACUUCUGCAGGAUUUGUCAUUAACGAGGCUGAUAGGUGUGUUUACUAUCGCCAUGUUGGGGGCAAUAGUGUCAUAUUAUGUUUGUAUGUGGACGACAUACUGAUCUUUGGUACAAACAUGCAAUCUCACUAUGUUGAGAAGGUCUUGAACCGAUUCGGUUUUAUGGAUAGCAAGCCUUCUCCAACACCUUAUGAUCCUAGCGUGGCACUCAGAAAGAACAAGAAAGAAACGAGAGAUCAAUUAAGAUACUCUCAAAUUGUCGGUUCACUCAUGUACUUAGCUAGCGCUACAAGACCAGAUAUCUCUUUUGCUGUGAGCAAACUGAGUAGGUUCAUGUCCAACCCGGGUGAUGAUCAUUGGCAUGCACUAGAAAGGGUCUUGCGCUAUCUGAGAGGUACUAUGAGUUACGGAAUUACUUAUUCAGGGCAUCCUGCUGUGCUAGAAGGAUAUAGUGAUUCAAAUUGGAUCUCCGAUGUUGAUGUACUUUACGCAACAAGUGGGUAUGUAUUUACUCAUGGUGGUGGCGCAGUGUCAUGGAGGUCUUGUAAGCAAACCAUAUUGACGAGGUCAACUAUGGAAGCAGAAUUAACUGCUUUGGACACAGCUACUGUUGAGGCAGAAUGGCUGCGUGAGCUCUUGAUGGACUUGCCGGUUGUUGAAAAACCUGUACCGGCUAUUCUCAUGAAUUGUGAUAACCAAACACGUGAAAAGACGUUUGAAGUCUGUCAGGAAGUUGAGAAACUCCGGAGUAAUAACUGUUACGUAUAUACAAACAGACAAAAACCUGGCAGAUCCCUUUACAAAGGGACUAUCACGAAAUGUGAUAGAUAUUGCAUCGAGGGAGAUGGGUAUGAGACCCAUAGAUGUUACACCAUAGUAGUAACCCAACCUUUGUGA
rnacentral:rRNA from 1 species